CACGUAGGGUGCGAGCGUUGUCCGGAAUUAUUGGGCGUAAAGGGCGCGUAGGUGGUUCUGUAUGUCUACCGUGAAAGCGUACGGCUCAACCGUAUUUUGUCGGUAGAAACUGCAGGACUUGAGGCUGGGAGAGGCUGGUGGAAUUCCCUGUGUAGCGGUGAAAUGCGUAGAGAUGGGGGAGAACACUCGUGGCGAAGGCGGCCAGCUAGACCAGUUCUGACACUGAGGCGCGACAGCGUGGGGAGCAAACAGG
rnacentral:rRNA from 1 species